CUCAGGUGAAUAUGAUGCUUGUGAUGUUACUCUGAGUGUAUAUCAAGCUUGUCCGGUGUUGAUAUACACUCAGAGUAACAUCACAAGCAUCAUAUUCA
rnacentral:miRNA from 1 species